ACGAACGCUGGCGGCGUGCUUAACCCAUGCUAGUCGAACGGAAAGGCCCUGCUUUUGUGGGGUGCUCGAGUGGCGAACGGGUGAGUAACACGUGAGUAACCUGCCCUUGACUUUGGGAUAACUUCAGGAAACUGGGGCUAAUACCGGAUAGGAGCUCCUGCUGCAUGGUGGGGGUUGGAAAGUUUCGGCGGUUGGGGAUGGACUCGCGGCUUAUCAGCUUGUUGGUGGGGUAGUGGCUUACCAAGGCUUUGACGGGUAGCCGGCCUGAGAGGGUGACCGGCCACAUUGGGACUGAGAUACGGCCCAAACUCCUACGGGAGGCAGCAGUGGGGAAUAUUGCACAAUGGGCGGAAGCCUGAUGCAGCAACGCCGCGUGCGGGAUGACGGCCUUCGGGUUGUAAACCGCUUUCGCCUGUGACGAAGCGUGAGUGACGGUAAUGGGUAAAGAAGCACCGGCUAACUACGUG
rnacentral:rRNA from 1 species